UUGGUUAAGUUAGAAAGGGCGCACGGUGGAUGCCUUGGCACUAGGAGCCGAAGAAGGACGGGACUAACACCGAUAUGCUUUGGGGAGCUGUACGUAAGCGUUGAUCCAGAGAUUUCCGAAUGGGGGAACCCACUAUCUUUAGUCGGAUAGUAUCCUUACGUGAAUACAUAGCGUAAGGAAGGCAGACCCAGGGAACUGAAACAUCUAAGUACCUGGAGGAAGAGAAAGAAAAAUCGAUUUCCUGAGUAGCGGCGAGCGAAACGGAAAGAGCCCAAACCAAGAAGCUUGCUUCUUGGGGUUGUAGGACACUCUAUACGGAGUUACAAAAGAAAGUUAUAAAUGAAGCGGUCUGGAAAGGCCCGCCAAAGACGGUAACAGCCCGGUAAUUGAAAUGGCUUUCCCUCCAGAGUGGAUCCUGAGUACGGCGGAACACGUGAAAUUCCGUCGGAAUCCGGGAGGACCAUCUCCCAAGGCUAAAUACUCCCUAGUGACCGAUAGUGAACCAGUACCGUGAGGGAAAGGUGAAAAGCACCCCGGAAGGGGAGUGAAACAGUUCCUGAAACCGUGUGCCUACAAGUAGUUAGAGCCCGUUAAUGGGUGAUAGCGUGCCUUUUGUAGAAUGAACCGGCGAGUUACGAUUUGUUGCAAGGUUAAGCGGAAAAAGCGGAGCCGUAGCGAAAGCGAGUCUGAAUAGGGCGCAUAAGUAACAGGUCGUAGACCCGAAACCAGGUGAUCUACCCAUGUCCAGGAUGAAGGUAAGGUAAUACUUACUGGAGGUCCGAACCCACGCACGUUGAAAAGUGCGGGGAUGAGGUGUGGGUAGCGGAGAAAUUCCAAUCGAACUUGGAGAUAGCUGGUUCUCUCCGAAAUAGCUUUAGGGCUAGCCUCGAGGUAAAGAGUCAUGGAGGUAGAGCACUGUUUGGACUAGGGGCCCUUCUCGGGUUACCGAAUUCAGAUAAACUCCGAAUGCCAUGUACUUAUACUCGGGAGUCAGACUGCGAGUGAUAAGAUCCGUAGUCGAAAGGGAAACAGCCCAGACCACCAGUUAAGGUCCCCAAAUAUAUGUUAAGUGGAAAAGGAUGUGGGGUUGCUUAGACAACCAGGAUGUUGGCUUAGAAGCAGCCACCAUUGAAAGAGUGCGUAAUAGCUCACUGGUCGAGUGACCCCGCGCCGAAAAUGUACCGGGGCUAAACAUAUUACCGAAACUGUGGAUGAACCUCUUCGGAGGUUCGUGGUAGGAGAGCGUUCUAAGGGCGGUGAAGUCAGACCGGAAGGACUGGUGGAGCGCUUAGAAGUGAGAAUGCCGGUAUGAGUAGCGAAAGAAGGGUGAGAAUCCCUUCCACCGAAUAUCUAAGGUUUCCUGAGGAAGGCUCGUCCGCUCAGGGUUAGUCGGGACCUAAGCCGAGGCCGAUAGGCGUAGGCGAUGGACAACAGGUAGAGAUUCCUGUACCAGUGCUAAUUGUUUAACCGAUGGGGUGACACAGAAGGAUAGGGAAUCGCACGAAUGGAAAUGUGCGUCCAAGCAGUGAGUGUGAGAAGUAGGCAAAUCCGCUUCUCGCGAAGCAUGAGCUGUGAUGGGGAAGGAAAUUAAGUACGGAAGUUCCUGAUUUCACGCUGUCAAGAAAAGCCUCUAGGAAGAGUAGUACUGCCCGUACCGCAAACCGACACAGGUAGAUGAGGAGAGAAUCCUAAGGUGAGCGAGAGAACUCUCGUUAAGGAACUCGGCAAAAUGACCCCGUAACUUCGGGAGAAGGGGUGCUCUAUUAGGGUGCAAGCCCGAGAGAGCCGCAGUGAAUAGGCCCAGGCGACUGUUUAGCAAAAACACAGGUCUCUGCAAAACCGUAAGGUGACGUAUAGGGGCUGACGCCUGCCCGGUGCUGGAAGGUUAAGAGGAGUGCUUAGCUUCGGCGAAGGUACGAAUUGAAGCCCCAGUAAACGGCGGCCGUAACUAUAACGGUCCUAAGGUAGCGAAAUUCCUUGUCGGGUAAGUUCCGACCCGCACGAAAGGCGCAACGAUCUGGGCACUGUCUCAACGAGAGACUCGGUGAAAUUAUAGUACCUGUGAAGAUGCAGGUUACCCGCGACAGGACGGAAAGACCCCGUGGAGCUUUACUGCAACCUGAUAUGGAAUGUUUGUACCGCUUGUACAGGAUAGGUAGGAGCCGAAGAGACGUGUGCGCUAGCAUACGAGGAGGCAAUGGUGGGAUACUACCCUGGCUGUAUG
rnacentral:rRNA from 1 species